rnacentral:rRNA from 1 species
AGUCGAGCGAAUGGAUUGAGAGCUUGCUCUCAAGAAGUUAGCGGCGGACGGGUGAGUAACACGUGGGUAACCUGCCCAUAAGACUGGGAUAACUCCGGGAAACCGGGGCUAAUACCGGAUAACAUUUUGAACCGCAUGGUUCGAAAUUGAAAGGCGGCUUCGGCUGUCACUUAUGGAUGGACCCGCGUCGCAUUAGCUAGUUGGUGAGGUAACGGCUCACCAAGGCAACGAUGCGUAGCCGACCUGAGAGGGUGAUCGGCCACACUGGGACUGAGACACGGCCCAGACUCCUACGGGAGGCAGCAGU